rnacentral:pre_miRNA from 1 species
GUUGUACUCCCUCCGUCCCAAAAUUCUUGUCUUAGAUUUGUCUAAAUACGGAUGUAUCAAGUCACGUUUUAGUAUUAGAUACAUCCGUAUCUAGACAAAUCUAAGACAAGAAUUUUGGGACGGAGGGAGUACUAA